rnacentral:rRNA from 1 species
GACGAACGCUGGCGGCGUGCUUAACACAUGCAAGUCGAACGGAAAGGCCCUGCUUGCAGGGUGCUCGAGUGGCGAACGGGUGAGUAACACGUGGGUGAUCUGCCUCUUACUUUGGGAUAAGCCUGGGAAACUGGGUCUAAUACUGGACAGGACCAUGCUGUAGGUGGUGUGGUGGAAAGAUUAGUUUCGGUAAGGGAUGAGCUCGCGGCCUAUCAGCUUGUUGGUGGGGUAAUGGCCUACCAAGGCGUCGACGGGUAGCCGGCCUGAGAGGGUGGUCGGCCACAUUGGGACUGAGAUACGGCCCAGACUCCUACGGGAGGCAGCAGUGGGGGAUAUUGCACAAUGGGCGCAAGCCUGAUGCAGCGACGCCGCGUGGGGGGUGACGGCCUUCGGGUUGUGAACUCCUUUCAGCCAUGACGAAGCCCUUGUGGUGACGGUAGUGGUAGAAGAAGCACCGGCUAACUACGUG